rnacentral:tRNA from 1 species
AAAUAGGAAACAAAUAAUUGUGUUUAGUUUCGACCUAAAAUUAUGGUAUAUCUUACCCUUAUUUA